UAAACUACCAAAGGAGUGCUAUGACUGAGAAGAGCAGAAAAGCAAGAGCUCAGUUUUAUUUUCCAAAAAUACAAUUUUUUUUUUCUUUAAAAAAAAGCUUUAAAGUCCCAUGUUUCUAAAUGCUCUUCCCAGAGGUCAACAAUCUAAAUAAUAGCCACAGUUUACCUCUUGCAAAUACAGCUCAGCUGUACUAAAGCUCUCCUUUGUGCAGAAAUCUGAGAAAGGACAGAUGAGAUGUGCUGAAGCCAUUGUGGCAACAGUUAAGACAGAGCCUACUCAUCAAAAUAAGAAUGAGUUCAGCAUAGUUUGCAAAGAAGGUGGAGUGACAAAAGAACAGAACAGACAAAACAUGGCUUUCAUUUAUUGAAUUGGGUCUCAUCUUGAAGAAGGAUGGUUUCUUCCAUAGUGUGAAAAAUGCCUACACAAAAUGAUGUAAAACAGAUCUUUUUAGACACUCCACAACCUGCAAAACUUGUACCAAAUUCAGCUUGCCUGACCCAUUUUAGGUCUCUAAUGUGACAGCCAGGCAGAGCUAAGCCAGAUUCUUAGCAAACAGAAAUCAGAAAGAUGUCCGGGACAGAGCAAGAAUACAGCAGAGAAUGAAAAGGCAGUCUGAAGGAAGAGAGAGGCUCGAAUUUCACGAUGCAAAUAUAAGAGGAUUUGCUGUAAUUUCUACAAAGGAGGGUGUAAUUUGGUAUUUCAUUUGAUGUCAAGAUGAUCAAAUAAUAGCCGUGAUGAGAAAGACCAUUUCUUUCCAUUCAGUCCUUUUUUCAGCAUCCUAUUUCUUAGCCCACAGAAUGUUUUAUUUUAGAAAUAAUAUGACAGCUGUGAUGGGUGGGAGAACUCAUGCAUCUGUAAGGCAGCGUGCCCAUUGGGACUCAUUCGCACACAUCACUUCUGUUAAUUUCUGGGUUUGUUCUUUUGUCACCGGGUAAUACCAGAAAGAUUCACUCCUUUUUUUUCCUCUCUCCUGUCUUUGAGAAAAACAUGAAGAGAAAGCAAAGUAGGGCAGGCACAACCUGAGUUAUCUUGAGCUUAUUUACUUGAAAGGUGAGUUUAAAAGCUACCUCAGAAUUAACAGCAUCCUCCUCCCCAUUUGAGACAAACCCUAGAGCUGUGUCUGUAGUGACGCAUCCAGUUUGUCUACUGUUGCAAUCAAUGAUAAAUACAUAUCCUCACCACAGAAACAGAUUACUGUGUCACACAUAUACAUCCCAAAAAAUGCUACCUGAGUUGUAGCAGGCGUCACCCACAGCAUUUUUGCCCACAUGCUAAGCCAGUUGCUCAAAAGCUUUGAUUGGGUUGGAUGAGAAAGAGAAAUCCUACGUAUCAGAGUUUGCUGCUUUUCCUUAGAGCUCAAAAAAUCCAGAAUACAUGCACAGAGGAGAAAAUUGUAGAUAUUUAAUUAAAAAAAAACACUUUCCAGAUUAAUAGUUGUGUUUUAAAAAAAAAAAAAAAAAGAUGUAUGUGGAAAUAGCUUUGGUACAGGUCAGUAAUUAUUAAAGGGCUAACUACAGGUAACUUAUUUUCCUGUAAGAUGCUUUGUUUUACAGGAAUCAAUUGCAUCCAGAGUUUCUGAAUAUUUUUACAAUGCAAUAAUUCUUGUAAAUUCGUUGGCAAAUAUAUCAAGGGGGUUCUAAAUAAUGUUACAAAAAAUACAUUAAAUUAACUGAUAACUGUAAUCAGAUUUUUUUGAGGAGAAGCAGAUGAAAAUAACCACUAGUGCAUUAAUAAAAUAGUAGUUUGAGGAAAGCGUUAAAAGUAAAUUAAUUUUAGUUUCUGUUAGUGCUUUUAAGACCUUCUCUGUGCUACUAUACUUUGAGGUGUUCAUGAUUUGUAAGCAUUAGAGUGAACUCUUUAAAAAAGAAAUUAGCCAUGGUUUCUAUUAGUCCCCUCAAGAAUUUAAUUUCAUGUCUUUAGGAAGCACACAGUGAAACAGCUUCUAAAGCAGCAACUCCAAUUCUACGUACUUCCGUAGUCUUUGAAGUGCCACCACAUUUCAUCUCAGGGACGGAGGAGGUUUCUCGGGCAGUGCCCAACCUGGAUGCUGGCAUUGCCUGGUGUGCACGCCUGGCUGGGAUGGGCACUGGGGUGCAAUGGAGCGACCUCUGCAGAUGGCUCUGCUGGAGCAAAGCUUGAGCAGCUCCCUGCUGAAAGCUGUGGAAACCUAUCCGUCCUAUGCUGACGGUGAAGCUCCUGACUCCCAUGAUGUUGGAAAAGGAAGUGUGACUUUUAAAAAGAGUGCAGAGCUUCUGAUUCAAGCAUUCUGGGUUCGUUUGCCAAAAAAAAAAAAAGAAGAAGAAGAAGAAGAAGAAGAAGAACAAACAAAAGAAAAAAAAAUCUUCCUUUUAAUUAUUUUUUUUAUUUUUUUAGGUUUGUGCACAAGGCUAGUUUAAUUCCUUUUUCAGUUGUCCAACAAAACGAGAAGUAUCCAGAAAACAGCAAGACCUCGCCUGCGGGCUUGUUUCUCACAUUAGAUGCAUUCAAGCCCACGCUGCUGUACAGCUUGCUGUUGUGAAGCGAGAACUCAACGCUGCUGCAAGUUGUUACCAUGCAAAUGCUUCCACAUGGGCAACCACGCGUGCCAUGCACGAAGGCAGAAGGACGCUCCAAGUCCUGUAUCCUGCCCGCAGUGCCUCAGGCAUCCCGGCUGGAUUCAGCUCAUACCUGGAAUUCUUUCAAAGACCUGUAGAAGGCGAUAAGGAAAUCUACACACAUGCAUCAGUGACACGAUCUUUCGGCUGCUUCUCUGGGCGAGCAGUAAGCCUGAUGCGUGAAGUCUUCUGCAGGAACAGUGGUGGUCAAACAUUUGCUGCCUGUUUUCAUUUUUUUCUACUGAAUUUCUCAUGAUGCUAUAGGACUUGAAUUUAAGUUGCAUUGCUGUAAGGCUUGGCAUUAUUUUCCAUAGGAUAUGCGCUUUAAAAUGCAUCAAAUGAGGAGUUAGAUGUAAUAUGCCCACAGCAUCAGCAUGUCUCUCAAAAGACAGGUACUUUUCUGUACUUAAAUGCUGUUUUUUUCUGAAAGCAUUUCCAACCUGCGGUGUGUGGCUUUCCACCACCACCAAGCAGACCUCAGCCCAUACGAGCUUUGGGCCUGGUUGUCCUCAGAUAGAUCCUCCAGGUUCUCUGCUGAGUUUCUCCCACAGGUUUGCAGUUGGUUUGCUGUGGAAGGUUUCCUUUUUGACAGUUUUCCUGUUCAAAUGUAGCACAGAACACAGCAGAGGGGAAGGCCACGUUUGUGCUGUAAAUUCCACUUUGGUUCUACUCCGAGUAAAUCUUGGCCUUCAUUUUGAAAUACUGUGUACUUUUUUAUUCAGACUUCCUUUUGUAAAAGGCCAUCAAAAGCUGAAAGAUUACUGUCCCAUAGUACAAAGAGGGAUGCUGUUAGUCUGGCCAAGUAGCUAUCAAAAAUAUGCAGGAAAUACAACAUAAAUUCAUUUUUCUCCAAAUGUUUUCUACAGGCAGGAUCCCAGGCUAUUAGGUUAACUCCAGGGACUACAAAGACAAUAACUUGAACUAGAAGUCCCAGGACAGUAGCCAGGUUUCGUGUGGUCUUCAGGGACAGGAACAAAAAACCUAUCAAAAAUAAUAACUUCCCUUUUGCCAUUCGACACUGAGCCCCGCUGUCAGCUGGAUUUCAGAAUUUUUUAAGAAGCAGGAGAGGCAACCUCUUCUAUCUGAAAGGUCAUUAAACUGAUGACCAUUAAAAACUGAUUCUCAUCCAGAUUCAUUCAUAAUAUUAAUUUACAUAUUUUCAAGAAUGUGAAUUAGUCUGUGGGGACCUAGACUUGGAGAAAAAACAUACAAGUUACAGUAUCUGUUUUUGUCUUUUCAGUCCUCAAAAUGUUAAGACCAGUGUGUACUGAAGCAUAUUAAAAUUUUCAGCCAGUCUCCUGACUGAAGUUCGACUCUCCUCAAACGGGAGCUGAAUAUGGCUUCUGACCUUGCGGACAGGAUUAUCCCAUAACAGAGAAUGAUAGAAAACCCUUAAAAGUAUCCCCCUUCAGCUUCAAUUGCUAUCAUUAAAUAUUCAUUCCUUUAGUGUAUUGCCUAUCUUGUCUGACAGACUGCAGUAGGCACCCUUCAGUUCACUGGAUGUUUUUCUGGAGGUGCCUUCAGUUUUUGGCAGGGUGAAAUUGUUUCAAGCAGAAAAUAUGAGAGGGAAAAAUGAAAGGCGGGUAUUUUCCCUGACCCUUUAGGCUCUGUAGGUAUUUUUGCCCAAGUAUGAAUCAAUAUAUCAUAUAGAAAGAUCAACAGGAUUAUGGUUUCACAACAAAUUAAAAUAUAUUAUUAAUUUAAAUGUAAAAUGCAAAUAUUUUGAAUGAAGUUUUCUGUUUCCAUUAAG